UCCUACGGGUGGCUGCAGUGAGGAAUAUUGGUCAAUGGGCGCAAGCCUGAACCAGCCAUCCCGCGUGAAGGAAGAAGGCGCUAUGCGUUGUAAACUUCUUUUCCAGGGGAAUAAAAUUUUGUACGUGUACGGAAUUGAAGGUACCCUGGGAAUAAGCAUCGGCUAACUCCGUGCCAGCAGCCGCGGUAAUACGGAGGAUGCGAGCGUUAUCCGGAUUUAUUGGGUUUAAAGGGUGCGUAGGCGGACCAAUAAGUCAGUGGUGAAAACCUGCAGCUUAACUGUAGAAUUGCCAUUGAUACUGUUGGUCUUGAGUAUGGUCAAGGUAGGCGGAAUGUGUAAUGUAGCGGUGAAAUGCUUAGAUAUUACACAGAACACCGAUUGCGAAGGCAGCUUGCUGGGCCAUUACUGACGCUGAUGCACGAAAGCGUGGGGAUCGAACAGGAUUAGAUACCCGGGUAGUCUAC
rnacentral:rRNA from 1 species